rnacentral:rRNA from 1 species
UACGGAGGGGACUAGCGUUGUUCGGAAUUACUGGGCGUAAAGCGCACGUAGGCGGAUUUGUAAGUCAGGGGUGAAAUCCCGAGGCUCAACCUCGGAACUGCCUUUGAUACUGGGGAUCUCGAGUCCGGGAGAGGUGAGUGGAACUGCGAGUGUAGAGGUGAAAUUCGUAGAUAUUCGCAAGAACACCAGUGGCGAAGGCGGCUCACUGGCCCGGAACUGACGCUGAGGUGCGAAAGCGUGGGGAGCAAACAGG